rnacentral:rRNA from 1 species
AACGAACGCUGGCGGCGUGCUUAACACAUGCAAGUCGAACGCGAAAGGGACUUCGGUCCUGAGUAAAGUGGCGCACGGGUGAGUAACGCGUGGAUAAUCUACCCGAUGGACCGGGAUAACAUUUCGAAAGGGGUGCUAAUACCGGAUAAGACCACGAGCACUUAGGUGUUUGCGGUAAAAGGUGGGGACCUUCGGGCCUGCCGUUAUCGGAUGAGUCCGCGUACCAUUAGCUAGUUGGUGGGGUAAGAGCCUACCAAGGCGACGAUGGUUAGCUGGUCUGAGAGGAUGAUCAGCCACACUGGAACUGAGACACGGUCCAGACUCCUACGGGUGGCUG